AUACGUAUGGGGCAAGCGUUAUCCGGAUUUAUUGGGCGUAAAGAGCGCGUAGGCGGAUUAUUAAGCGAGAUGUGAAAACUGGGGGCUCAACCCGCAGCUUGCAUCUCGAACUGGUAGUCUUGAGUUUGGUAGAGGAGUGUGGAAUUCCCAGUGUAGCGGUGGAAUGCGCAGAUAUUGAGAGGAACACCAGUUGCGAAGGCGGCACUCUGGGCCAACACUGACGCUGAGGCGCGAAAGCUAGGGGAGC
rnacentral:rRNA from 1 species